rnacentral:tRNA from 1 species
UUAACUGAAACCAAAGAUAGAGGUAUAUUAUUGUUAAUGAUAAAAUUGAAUUAAUAUUCCAGUUAAG